CCUACGGGAGGCAGCAGUGAGGAAUAUUGGUCAAUGGACGAGAGCCUGAACCAGCCAAGUAGCGUGAAGGAUGACUGCCCUACGGGUUGUAAACUUCUUUUAUAAAGGAAUAAAGUGAGGCACGUGUGGCAUUUUGUAUGUACUAUAUGAAUAAGGAUCGGCUAACUCCGUGCCAGCAGCCGCGGUAAUACGGAGGAUCCGAGCGUUAUCCGGAUUUAUUGGGUUUAAAGGGAGCGUAGGUGGGUUGUUAAGUCAGUUGUGAAAGUUUGCGGCUCAACCGUAAAAUUGCAGUUGAUACUGGCAGUCUUGAGUACAGUAGAGGUAGGCGGAAUUCGUGGUGUAGCGGUGAAAUGCUUAGAUAUCACGAAGAACUCCGAUUGCGAAGGCAGCUUACUAAACUGCCACUGACACUGAGGCUCGAAAGUGUGGGUAUCAAACAGGAUUAGAUACCCGGGUAGUC
rnacentral:rRNA from 1 species